rnacentral:tRNA from 1 species
GCCUCGGUGGCGUAGUGGUCAAGACGCUCGCCUGGUAAACAGGAGGGGGUGGGUUCGAUCCCAGCCGAGGCA